GACGAACGCUGGCGGCGUGCUUAACACAUGCAAGUCGAACGAUGAAGCUGGAGCUUGCUCUGGUGGAUUAGUGGCGAACGGGUGAGUAACACGUGAGUAACCUGCCCUUGACUCUGGGAUAAGCGCUGGAAACGGCGUCUAAUACCGGAUACGAGCUCCCACCGCAUGGUGAGUUGCUGGAAAGAAUUUCGGUCAAGGAUGGACUCGCGGCCUAUCAGCUUGUUGGUGAGGUAACGGCUCACCAAGGCGACGACGGGUAGCCGGCCUGAGAGGGUGGACGGCCACAGUGGGACUGAGCCACGGCCCAGACUACUACGGGAGGCAGCAGUGGGGAAUAUUGCACAAUGGGCGCAAGCCUGAUGCAGCAACGCCGCGUGAGGGACGAAGGCCUUCGGGUCGUAAACCUCUUUUAGCAGGGAGGAAGCGAAAGUGACGGUACCUGCAGAAAAAGCACCGGCUAACUACGUGCCAGCAGCCGCCGUAA
rnacentral:rRNA from 1 species